UCGAGGGGCAGCAUGGGACUUCGGUCCUGAUGGCGACCGGCGCACGGGUGAGUAACGCGUACACAACCUACCUUCAAGAGGGGGAUAGCCUUGGGAAACUGAGAUUAAUACCCCAUGUGAUUAACUUAUUAAUGAUUGGUUAAUUAAAGCUGAGGCGCUUGAAGAUGGGUGUGCGUCUGAUUAGCUAGUUGGUAGGGUAACGGCCUACCAAGGCGAUGAUCAGUAGGGGGCGUGAGAGCGUGACCCCCCACACGGGUACUGAGACACGGACCCGACUCCUACGGGAGGCAGCAGUAAGGAAUAUUGGACAAUGGGCGAAAGCCUGAUCCAGCUAUCCCGCGUGCAGGAUGAAGGCCCUAUGGGUUGUAAACUGCUUUUGGCAGGGACGAAACUCACGCGUUUACGCGUGACUGACGGUACCUGCAGAAUAAGCACCGGCUAACUCCGUGCCAGCAGCCGCGGUAAUACGGAGGGUGCAAGCGUUAUCCGGAAUCACUGGGUUUAAAGGGUGCGUAGGUGGCUUGAUAAGUCAGUGGUGAAAGCCCACCGCUCAACGGUGGAAUUGCCAUUGAUACUGUCAGGCUUGAAU
rnacentral:rRNA from 1 species